GCCACUCAACUUUGGAAAGUUAUAAAAUGGUCAUCUAAUUAUUUUAAUUUUGUCUUUUUCGGUCAUCAGUUAGUUAAUGUAAAAAUGGAAGCACCCAAAAAUUCAAGAUAGUUGAGUGACCAAAAAAGACAAAAUUAAAUUGUUGAGUGAUCAUUUUGUAUUUUUCAUAGUUGGGUGAAUAAAAAAAAGAAAUUUACUAGUUGAGUGACCAUUUUGUAACUUUUCAUAGUUGAGCGAC
rnacentral:pre_miRNA from 1 species